UACAGAGGUCUCAAGCGUUGUUCGGAUUCAUUGGGCGUAAAGAGCGUGUAGGCGGCUUGGUAGGUCCGCUGUGAAAACUCGAGGCUCAACCUCGAGAUGUCGGCGGAAACCACUUGGCUAGAGUCCGGAAGAGGAGAGUGGAAUUCCUGGUGUAGCGGUGAAAUGCGCAGAUAUCAGGAAGAACACCCGUGGCGAAGGCGGCUCUCUGGGACGGUACUGACGCUGAGACGCGAAAGCGUGGGGAGCGAACAGG
rnacentral:rRNA from 1 species